UCUGAACCGUUGGCCCGGCCACCUCAUCCCCGAAGCAGCUCGAGGCGCUCGCCGUCGGCGGGAUGAACGUGGCGCGCGUCAACAUAUGCCACGGGGAUCGGGAGUGGCACCGGGGCGUCAUCCGCGCCGUCAGGAGGCUCAACGAGGAGAAGGGCUUCACAGUCGCCGUCAUGCGAUGGACACCGAGGGUAGUGAGAUCCACAUGGGCGACCUCGGCGGCGCGGCCUCGGCCAAGGCGGAGUUAGAAGUUUGAUUGGUGUGUGAUCCAUCAUCCGUCGUUGUCCUUAAGGCCAUGAACUGGCCCCAUCCUCACCAAGAACAAGGACUGGCCUCUCCUAAUGAAGGUCAAGCUCCAGGAGCAGCCGCCUCUGGAACAUCACCUACACGUCGACCGAACAGACACUAGUUUUCAUCGGUUUGCAUCUCCGUUUAUCUGCCAACUACACGCUAUGCUUCGUAUACAGCUGUGUCUUGAUUUGCGGUAUCACGUAUGAAACUGGUGUGGUAAGCUUA